rnacentral:rRNA from 1 species
UACGUAGGGUGCGAGCGUUGUCCGGAAUUACUGGGCGUAAAGAGCUCGUAGGCGGUUUGUCGCGUCGGGAGUGAAAACCUUGGGCUUAACUCAGGGCUUGCUUUCGAUACGGGCAGACUAGAGGUAUGCAGGGGAGAACGGAAUUCCUGGUGUAGCGGUGAAAUGCGCAGAUAUCAGGAGGAACACCGGUGGCGAAGGCGGCCCUCUGGACGGUGACUGACGCUGAGACGCGAAAGCGUGGGGAGCAAACAGG